rnacentral:rRNA from 1 species
UACGAAGGGGGCUAGCGUUGCUCGGAUUGAUUGGGCGUAAAGGGCGCGUAGGCGGCGGACACAGUCAGACGUGAAAUUCCUGGGCUCAACCUGGGGGGCUGCGUUUGAUACAUGUCUGCUUGAGUUCGGAAGAGGGUCGUGGAAUUCCCAGUGUAGAGGUGAAAUUCGUAGAUAUUGGGAAGAACACCGGUGGCGAAGGCGGCGACCUGGUCCGAUAC